AGCGAACGCUGGCGGCAGGCUUAACACAUGCAAGUCGGGCGCCCCGCAAGGGGAGCGGCAGACGGGUGAGUAACACGUGGGAACGUGCCUUUUGGUUCGGAACAACCCAGGGAAACUUGGGCUAAUACCGGAUAAGCCCUUACGGGGAAAGAUUUAUCGCCAAAAGAUCGGCCCGCGGCUGAUUAGCUAGUUGGUGGGGUAAUGGCCAAACAAGGCUACGAUCAGUAGCUGGUCUGAGAGGAUGAUCAGCCACAUUGGGACUGAGACACGGCCCAAACUCCUACGGGAGGCAGCAGUGGGGAAUAUUGGACAAUGGGGGCAACCCUGAUCCAGCCAUGCCGCGUGAGUGAUGAAGGCCUUAGGGUUGUAAAGCUCUUUUAGCAGGGAAGAUAAUGACGGUACCUGCAGAAAAAGCCCCGGCUAACUUCGUGCCAGCCGCCGCCGUAA
rnacentral:rRNA from 1 species